rnacentral:rRNA from 1 species
UGGAAUCGCUAGUAAUCGCGGAUCAGCACGCCGCGGUGAAUACGUUCCCGGGCCUUGUACACACCGCCCGUCACACCAUGAGAGUCUGUAACACCCAAAGCCGGUGGGAUAACCUUUAUAGGAGUCAGCCGUCUAAGGUAGGACAGAUGAUUAGGGUGAAGUCGUAACAAGGUACC